UACGGAGGAUCCAAGCGUUAUCCGGAAUCAUUGGGUUUAAAGGGUCCGCAGGCGGGACAGUAAGUCAGUGGUGAAAGUCUGCCGCUUAACGGUAGAACUGCCAUUGAUACUGCUGUCCUUGAGUAAUUAUGAAGUGGUUAGAAUAUGUAGUGUAGCGGUGAAAUGCAUAGAUAUUACAUAGAAUACCGAUUGCGAAGGCAGAUCACUAAUAAUUUACUGACGCUGAUGGACGAAAGCGUAGGUAGCGAACAGG
rnacentral:misc_RNA from 1 species